rfam:Triticum urartu cultivar G1812 contig284472, whole genome shotgun sequence.
GAUAUACUCCCUCCGUUUCAUAAUACAUGACUUUCAUUUGUCAAAAUAUAGAUGUAUAUAGACAUGUUUUAGCAUAUAGGUACAUCCAUUUUUGAACAAAUGGAAGUCAAGUAUUUUGGAACGGAGGGAGUACCUC